rnacentral:rRNA from 1 species
CCUACGGGUCGCAGCAGUAGGGAAUAUUGCUCAAUGGGGGAAACCCUGAAGCAGCAACGCCGCGUGGAGGAUGAAGGUUUUCGGAUUGUAAACUCCUUUUGUGAGAGAAGAUAAUGACGGUAUCUAACGAAUAAGCACCGGCUAACUCCGUGCCAAAAGCCGCGGUAAUAAGGAGGGUGCAAGGGGUACUCGGAACUACUGGGCGUAAAGAGCGAGUAGGCGGGCUUGCAAGUCAGAUGUGAAAUCCUAUGGCUUAACCAUAGAACUGCAUUUGAAACUGUUAUUCUAGAGUAUGGGAGAGGUAGGUGGAAUUCUUGGUGUAGGGGUAAAAUCCGUAGAGAUCAAGAGGAAUACUCAUUGCGAAGGCGACCUGCUAGAACAUAACUGACGCUGAUGCGCGAAAGCGUGGGGAGCAAACAGGAUUAGAUACCCCGGUAGUC